GCCCUGGUGGCACAGUGGUUAAAUGCUUGUACUUUAGAUAACAAAGUUGUGAGUUCAAUCCCAGCCAGGGGCU